CUGUGAGUACCCCCCGGAGCCCGGCUGGGGGCCGGGCGGUCGCAGGUUCAAAUCCUGUCUCCCCGA
rnacentral:tRNA from 1 species